GUUCCCAUGACUCUUACCAGAAUCAGCAAAGUGAUAAACACUGGAUGGAAACAUGCCCAUUCCUUGUGGCAGUGCAAAGGAUAAGGACUCAGGGACAAAAAGGGAUAGACCCAGCUAUUUGCCUGAAGAAUGUUCCUCAGACCCCAUUUAUGGCAAGAAUUCAGAACAACAUGCAAGAAUCUAAAAACAGAGGGAAAGAAAAACAGGCUGCUCCCUACUGCAGGGAGGCACAACUCACCCCACCUUGCUUUAAAUUGGGAAACUGAGGCACACAAAGGUGAAGCGACUUGCCCAAGCUCAGAACCAUGGCUGAGCUAGGAAUAGAAUCCAGGUCUCAAUUCUACUCCAGUGCUUUAUCUACCAGGUUACACCCACUGAAGCAUUAGUAUUAAGUGUUUACUGGGGAAAAAAAACAACACACACACACACAAAAUUUCCUUUUAAAAUUCCUCAGGAUCUUUAGGAAAGAACCACCAGCUGGGACCCAUCAUCCUCCCUUUUCAUCUGAUCCAGUA